rnacentral:rRNA from 1 species
UACGUAGGUGGCAAGCGUUGUCCGGAAUUAUUGGGCGUAAAGCGCGCGCAGGCGGCUUCUUAAGUCUGAUGUGAAAUCUCGGGGCUCAACCCCGAGCGGCCAUUGGAAACUGGGAAGCUUGGGUACAGAAGAGGAGAGUGGAAUUCCACGUGUAGCGGUGAAAUGCGUAGAUAUGUGGAGGAACACCAGUGGCGAAGGCGACUCUCUGGUCUGUAACUGACGCUGAGGCGCGAAAGCGUGGGGAGCAAACAGG